AAAGGGCUCGUACGCGUUCACUGUUAUUACUAGUAUAUAUUAUUGAAAUAUUUUGUGUUUAUAAAGUGCACUAUUAUUUCGUUACAUUAUUCCCAUCUCUUCAUAUAUGGCUCCUAAAUGUAUGCUUUAAUAUUUAAACUGAAUUAAAGAAACGCGCUAAGACUAAUACGAAGAUGGACUUGAAGUUGACUAUGCAGUUGAAGAAAAAAACAAAGGCAAAGAUUGAAAUAAAAAUAAAGAUAAGCAUAUAGGUGAAGGUUAACGGUUGUAUGACAUCCUGGUAGUUAAUGCUUCUAAAUAAUGAGUACCUCAUCCAAACCCUCUCCAAAACGCUCUCCAUUACAACUACAUAUUUACCUCCCAGCCAACAUUUCCGACAUCGAAUUUUGGUUAUCGAAGCUAGUCAAGGUUUGUUCGAAAGGCCUAUCUAUCGAUUGUACCAACUCCGACAGAUCCACAUCAUCGAAACGUUCAUCCUCAGCGAAACGAGCCAAAUCAACGUAAUUGCUAGCGGUUGCAUUGACUACAGCAUGGAGAAAAUCCAUAAAGUAGAAAUAAUCAUUAUCUACAAUGGAAACAUUCCAUUUAUUCUCUGGCAAUGGGCCUUGCCAUCCGCGAUAGUCACGAUCCAGUGAGAUGACAGUCGGCGAAUUAAAAUAGCGUUUUAGCUGGACACCACUUAAACUAAUUGCGGCAAACAUCGAGACAAAAACUAUGCCGAACCACAGGAGACUGAAAUAUCAAAUGUAUGAAGUCUCCUAUUUGCCAUCAAACUUAUAGCCAAUAUACCAGUUUCCGCACCCAGAUCCACCCCGAAAGCGUUCAUCUUUUGAGC